UUAGUGAAUGUGCUGAAUUUAUAUAUUUUUUUUAACACUUCCUCGCCCUUAUCUCUUCGAACCAAUAAAAUCGGAACCAGCACUAGAUACCUGCAAUUUCACUAGAUAAAAGAUAACUACUAACAGAAAAAUCGAAAAACGUUACCCAAUAUAUUUGUUACCAAAUGUAUCUUUAUAACUGAAUUAAAAGUUGACAAUUUUUAUAUCAUCUAAAUAACAAUUUAAUUAUUUUUUAUUAAAUUAGUUAGGUGUAAAAUCAUUCAUGCAUACACGGUUGUUUUCAAUACCCGUAGUUUUACGAAUCACAUCACUUCAUAAUAACGCUGAAUAUACAUGAUAUACUCUAAACCUAGCGGGGAACUCCUAAUACACACACUUGUCAAACUUAUCCCCAUAUAAAACUGCUUUAUAUUUUCUUGAGGGCUUAUUUCACACACUAAUUUUUGGGGGGCUACAUUUUUUUCUUGUAAAAUUAUAAAUAUUGCCGUAUAAUCAUUUUGAUUUCUAUACAUGUAAAAAAAAAUCAGACAUUUAACACAUCUUUUGC
rnacentral:lncRNA from 1 species